GGGGCAACAACUGGUGUCAGAAUAGGAUGGCUCCUAGUUCUCAUGCAGAAUAGAGAAGUUUCUCAUUAAGCAAGUUUCAUUGAAGGAAAACCUCAUACAUCCUUCUGACUUCUAGCAUAUUUUGAAAAUCUUCACAUUGAGAGAAAUAUCCAGUAGCUGUUUAAAUGCUUGUAGGUGAUGUAACCUACCACUGCCUUCUUGUUUACACUUCUUUGUGAACAGGGACGCUCCUUGGUGCAAACUAAGUGCAGCUAGCUUGGCACCUGGGUUCUUCUACGUUAGACAGGCUGCUGCAAUUAGAGCUAAAAAUGUGAAAUUUUCUGUGAGAUCUCUAGAAGGAGCUGUAAUAGAGAAAUUAUAAGCUGACCUCUUUAAGGAUAUCUGACACCGUGAAUAUUAGAACCUGGGCUCAGUUCUCAGGAGUCAUGGGAUGUUUGGUUGUGAAAGUGCAAUAGUAAUAAUUUGAAAUAAUUUACAGUCAUGAGGGGUGCUCUGUCUGCCAUGUUCGUGGACCAAGAAAGGCGGCUGUAGCUCAAGGCAAGACUACAGCGAAUGUAGCAGUCUACUAAUACAGUAAAAUUCUGGGCUCAACUGAUACCGAUGGGGGUGAGAGGACUGUGGGCUGAA
rnacentral:lncRNA from 1 species